AUUGAACGCUGGCGGCAUGCCUUACACAUGCAAGUCGAACGGUAACAGGCCGCAAGGUGCUGACGAGUGGCGAACGGGUGAGUAAUGCAUCGGAACGUGCCCAGUAGUGGGGGAUAGCCCGGCGAAAGCCGGAUUAAUACCGCAUACGACCUGAGGGUGAAAGGGGGGGAUCGCAAGACCUCUCGCUAUUGGAGCGGCCGAUGUCAGAUUAGCUAGUUGGGGGGGUAAAGGCCUACCAAGGCAACGAUCUGUAGUUGGUCUGAGAGGACGACCAGCCACACUGGGACUGAGACACGGCCCAGACUCCUACGGGAGGCAGCAGUGGGGAAUUUUGGACAAUGGGCGCAAGCCUGAUCCAGCAAUGCCGCGUGCAGGAAGAAGGCCUUCGGGUUGUAAACUGCUUUUGUCAGGGAAGAAAUCCUCUAGGUUAAUACCCUUGGGGGGAUGACGGUACCUGAAGAAUAAGCACCGGCUAACUACGUGCCAGCCGCCGCAGUAAGAC
rnacentral:rRNA from 1 species